rnacentral:rRNA from 1 species
GACAGAGGGUGCAAACGUUGUUCGGAAUUACUGGGCGUAAAGCGCGUGUAGGCGGCUAUGCAAGUCGGAUGUGAAAGCCCCUCGGCUCAACCGGGGGAAGUGCACCCGAAACUGCAAAGCUAGAGUCUCGGAGAGGAUCGUGGAAUUCUCGGUGUAGAGGUGAAAUUCGUAGAUAUCGAGAGGAACACCGGUGGCGAAGGCGACAUCCUGGACCGGUAUUGACGCUGAGGCGCGAAAGCCAGGGGAGCAAACGGGG